rnacentral:rRNA from 1 species
AAGUUUGAUCCUGGCUCAGAUUGAACGCUGGGGGGAGGGCUAACACAUGCAAGUCGAACGGCAGCGCGGGUAGCAAUACCUGGCGGCGAGUGGCGGACGGGUGAGUAAUGCAUCGGGAUCUACCCAGACGUGGGGGAUAACGUAGGGAAACUUACGCUAAUACCGCAUACGUCCUACGGGAGAAAGCGGGGGCUCGCAAGACCUCGCGCGGUUGGACGAACCGAUGUGCGAUUAGCUAGUUGGUGGGGUGACGGCCCACCAAGGCGACGAUCGCUAGCUGGUCUGAGAGGAUGAUCAGCCACACUGGGACUGAGACACGGCCCAGACUCCUACGGGAGGCAGCAGUGGGGAAUAUUGGACAAUGGGCGCAAGCCUGAUCCAGCAAUGCCGCGUGUGUGAAGAAGGCCUUCGGGUUGUAAAGCACUUUUAUCAGGAGCGAAAUGCCAUUGGUUAAUACCCGGUGGAGCUGACGGUACCUGAGGAAUAAGCACCGGCUAACUUCGUGCCAGCAGCCGCGGUAAUACGAAGGGUGCAAGCGUUAAUCGGAAUUACUGGGCGUAAAGGGUGCGUAGGCGGUUCGUUAAGUCUGUUGUGAAAUCCCCGGGCUCAACCUGGGAAUGGCAAUGGAUACUGGCGAGCUAGAGUGUGUCAGAGGAUGGUGGAAAUUCC